UAGAAAGUUAGUCUGACCAAGACA
rnacentral:tRNA from 1 species